rnacentral:rRNA from 1 species
UACGAUGGGAGCUCGCGUUGAUCGGAAUAACUGGGCGUAAAGAGCUCGUAGGAGGAUUUGCAAGUCAGGGGUGAAAUCCCGGGGCUUAACCUCGGAACUGCCUUUGAAACUGCAAAUCUGGAAUCUCUGAGGGGAUAGCGGAAUUCCUAAUGUAGGGGUGAAAUCCGUAGAUAUUAGGAGGAACACCGGUGGCGAAGGCGGCUAUCUGGAUGAGUAUUGAUGCUGAGGAGCGAAAGCGUGGGUAUCAAACAGG